GAUAACUCCAAAAUUUUUUUUUCACUUUUCGGCGUUGUUGCGGAGAAUUAAUUAACAAACAUACCAAAAGUAUAUAAGCCAGAUCAGCGCGGCAAAUAUGUUUAAAAUGUUGUUUUUCAUAAAAUAAAGGCUAUAAGUAAGUUA